CAACUAUCCAAAACCGGUCCUCGAUUUGUUCGCGUUUUCUCAAUAACCGGCUUGUCGUACGCACUCGCACCAGGAGCGGCCCCACACACAACGUUUCGACAACAAUAAAACCCGUCUUACAUUUGUUGCGCCAAUUUCCCAGAUUUUC
ensembl:ncRNA F57G12.5 ncRNA